CGGUAAAUAACUUUAAGAACGAGACCGGUUACACCAACCGCAUGAUGACGAGAGUAGCCCAGCCCCCCGUCGUCCCCACCCCUCCUCUCCAGCCUCAAUCCCGCCCUCAGUGCCCGCUCCAGCCUAUCAGGAGCCAGCAGGACCCUCUCAUGCCCCGCCCUCCAGCCUUAGACACGCCACCAUUGGCUCAGCAGCAGCAGCAGGUUGGCCCGCCCCUCAGAGUCGGGAACCAUAAUAACUCCUCCCACAUGGCUGCUGGCUCCUCCUAUAACUCAACGGGGCCCUCCCCCCAGCACCCAACCAAUCACAACAACACGCUUAUUAUAACAAAAGAGCCAGAGAGUGGAGGAGUUCAGUCUGUGGUGGUCUCAGCCGACCCCCUCUAGCCAAG
rnacentral:lncRNA from 1 species